UCACAGACGUCCACUCUGCCCACCACCUCAAAGAAGCUGGUAGCUGCUUCUGAAGGGAACAGAAGCCAGCAGGGGCAGAGAAGGACAAACUCACCAGCACCUCUUCUGGAAUGUUGACCCGGUCUGGAGAAAGCGUCGCCGUCUGGAAAGGCAGAGGAAGGGC